UAUUGGUAAGAGAGACGGAGCAUCAGAUAGAAAUGAAAGAAUGAAGAAUGAAGAGGAAAAGUACUUAAGAAUGCAUUGGAAAGGGAAUGUGUUUCUACCCCAGAGCCGUUUGAAUAUUAAAGCACAGAUGUGUGGAGCACUUCACCUUGGGAGGAUAAUGUCAGGGCGAGUUGAUGUCUUUCAGCAAUCCUCAUUUUAAACACUUCACAGCCUUCAGAAGGAGCUCUCCAGAAACCACCUCAGUGCACAUUCCCUGUUCUCGUACAGAACUCUUUGCAUUCUGUAAUUGUCAAGCACACUGACUGAAAAUGAUUUUAUACCGCUGUGUUAAAAUGGAAUAUUUAGUGAUGUCAUUUAGAGGGA